CAUUUAUACCGUGAACUGCGAAUGGCUCAUUAAAUCAGUUAUUCGUUUAUUUUGAUAGUACCUUCCUACUUUGGAUAACCGUGGUAAUAUAGAGCUAAUACAUGCUAAAAACCCCAACAACGGGAGGGGUGUAUCCUUAGAUAAAAAACCAAUGCCCUUCGGGGCUCCUUGGUGAUUCAUGAUAACUUCUCAGAUCGCAUGGCUUUACGCCGGCGACGGUUCAUUCAAAUUUCUGCCCUAUCAACUUUCGAUGGUAAGGUAUUGGCUUACCAUGGUUUCAACGGGUAACGGGGAAUUAGGGUUCGAUUCCGGAGAGGGAGCCUGAGAAACGGCUACCACAUCCAAGGAAGGCAGCAGGCGCGCAAAUUACCCAAUUCCGAUACGGAGAGGUAGUGACAAUAAAUACUGAUACAGGGCUCUUUUGGGUCUUGUAAUUGGAAUGAGUACAAUUUAAACCUCUUAACGAGGGAACAUGGGAGGGCAAGUCUGGUGCCAGCAGCGCCGGUAAUUCCAGCUCCAAUAGCAUAUUUUAAAGUGGUUGCAGUUAAAAAAUCCGUAGUUUGACUUUGGGCCUGGUGGGCAGGUUCCCCUCACCGCGUGCACUUGUUCGGCCGGGGCUUUUCUUCUAGAAACCGCAUGCCCCUUCACUGGGGUUGUUGGGGACCAGGACUUUUACUUUGAAAAAAUUAGAGUGUUCAAAGCCAGCCUUUGCUCAAAUACGCUAGCAUGGGAAUAAAUAGAAAUAGGGACGUUGCUUUUUGGUUGGUUUCUAAGGACCCGCCCUUAAUUGAUAGGGACAGUCGGGGGCAUCAGUAUUCAAUUGUCAGAGGUGAAAUUCUUGGGUUUAUUGAAGACUACCUACUGCGAAAGGAUUUGCCAAGGAUGUUUUCAUUAAUCAGUGAACGAAAGUUAGGGGAAUGAAGACGAUCAGAUACCGUCGUAGUCUUAACCGU
rnacentral:rRNA from 1 species